UACGAGGGGCCCAAACGUUAUUCGGAAUUACUGGGCUUAAAGAGUUCGUAGGCGGCGCAGCAAGUCGGGUGUGAAAGCCCUCGGCUCAACCGAGGAAUUGCGCUCUAAACUACUGUGCUUGAGGGACCUAGAGGUGAGCGGAACUGAUGGUGGAGCGGUGAAAUGCGUUGAUAUCAUCAGGAACACCGGAGGCGAAGGCGGCUCACUGGGGGUCUUCUGACGCUGAGGAACGAAAGCCAGGGGAGCGAACGGG
rnacentral:rRNA from 1 species